CUAGCAGACGCCAGACGGACAUUACAAGCUGUUCUUGCCAGGAAUAGAUGGAGGGAUUUCAUGUUUUCAUGGUAAGCACGCUUUUCUAGGGUUUCAUGGAUGGAGUGAAUGAAUGGUCAGAGUAGAGGAAUUAUAAGGUGAAUAAUAGGAGUAAAUCUAAGUGUGUAACACCUUCAUAUUUGUGCAGAAUGCAGGGAUCAGUUUAAUGUAGCCUCUUUUAAUAUGCACUGCUGAACUUUUCUGGUGGGGGCUCAAAGUCUUGAGAGGCAGGACAUGACAUCAAAAGCCAAAGAAGCCAAUGUAAAAUAUUUUCAGUGAUGAGGAUCAACAGAGGUUUAUGCUUCAACACUUUUAGGUAUCUGCACCAAUACUAUGUGUGAAGACAUUUUUGCUGUCCUCAUCUUGAAAAUGAUUCUCCUUCUUUGGCCUAAGAUGUUGUUACAAGUCCCAUUCCUCUUUGCUCCUCGGGUUUUACACCAAUCGCAUGAUGUGAAAAUCAUCACGCCACCUUAGCAUUACAAUAAAUCUCUACAAUGAAUGUUUUUCACUGUGGUCUCAAAUCAGUUUGCUCUGACUGCAAAUUUUUACCGGGAGUAAAAAAAAGUAAAAAUGGUUGAUGAAGUUGGGGUGAAAUUUUCAGCUCUUUGUUAUAAAUAAAAAAAUACCCCUGAAAAUUUCGGCAUGGCUAAUGACAGCUUAUAUCUUUUGGAUAUUUUAAUCAUAGAAAACUUUACAGGUCAUAGAUCUUCACGGCUUCUCCGGUGUACAAGCCAAUUCUGGACGCUGUCAAUUUUUACUGCGUUGCUUACAUCUAAAAACAGGGAUUUCCUAGUACUUGGGAAGCAUUAACUCAUGUGACCUUCUUCCAUUCUUCCUUUCACUUAACUUCUGAAUAAAUCAAAGCCAAUUAUUUGAGAUGCAAAGUCAGUUUAGUGUAGCAUGUGUCUGUAACAUUUCAGCUAAACGCUCUGCUUGAUAAAGCAUAAAACCCCCCAUCAUUUUAUGAAUCAAAAGUAGGCUAAACCAGACAGAAGCACUACAAGUGAGGAGAGGAUUUGCAUGAAAAUCAACUCAGUCUCCAGCACACACAGUGUAUUUGUAACUCCAGCAGACAGUAUACAGCGUAGUAUGGUAAUGGGGCACUGGGACAUUGUCAGUUUCUGGCAGCUAAGAUUACGUGUCAUUGUCCCACUUUUUUUUCUUUCUUUUCUGUCUUUUUUUUUUUUUAAUAUGUGCUGAAAGAAAAUUCUGUCUCUUAAGCUCUAUCAGGCAGGAAAGCUGCUAAGACACCAAACUGAAACAUGAAUAGGUUAUCAGAGGUUAGAAUAGAGUCUUUUCAACUAGCCUGACUUCAUUAUAACUUUUCUAAAUUUUUACUAAUAUGAACCACGCCGUCACUGACAGUUUUGUUGUAAUUAUGAGGGAAGCUUCUUAGACAGCUUGAAACUAUAAACUGAUUUUCAAUACAUGCACGGUAUUUAACGUCAAGGAAGGGGCGGAGCAUCCAAAAGGAGGCCGUUAAGCUGUCAUUUAAAAGCACUGUGAGGAAAAGUGGUUGAGAAACAAUCUGAAACUGUUACUGAUGCUUCUCUAUGACCUUCAAAACCAAACAACACUGAUAAUUUCACUGCACUAACUUUAAAUGAUCAAAAAUUCUUGGAGGGGGGUAAGUGUCAAACAAGAUGAUUGACAGCAGGCUGAAAACCAGCCUUUUAAACUUUGUGUACUGUAAAUACUCAAAGUGACUCGUACAUUUCAUUGUUUCAAAACAACAGAAUGAGGUUUUUGUCUGGAAAAAAAUUACUUUCACAGGAUCAGGAAAAAAUACAAGGGGUAUUAUUUUGUCCAAAAGGGUAUGCCAAUAUCAACACAGAGCAAAAGUUCCUCAUAGCAGAUUUAAACAUGUGUUGAAUUUAUACUAACAGAGCUUUAGAGGCCUUGAGCGAGCAAAAUGUUGACUUAUUUCUUGGUAGGUUGGAUUGAGUUUCAAGAAAAUAAAAGCAUGUUUGCUGCUGGAUUUUUUAUGCAAAAAAUGUCACACAAACUGUGUUUGUCACUGUAAAACCUGUAUAACAUAUUUUCUAUUAAAUUCACAUAAAUAUUAGUUUUCAAUUUUCUCCUUUUUUUUUUUAAAGCAAAUAUUAUUGACUAAAUGAACUGUAACUCCUUUAGUAGGUGUUCUUAUAGCUGUUGCAUUUGGAUGGUUCAGUAAAUUUUCGACAUCAAGGAAGACAUUAGACUUGAGUUCUUUGUUUCUUUACAGCCUUGUACCAAAAGAGUCGUAAUGCAUACCUUAAACAGUUUUUUUUCUGGUAAUACAUUUGAUACCACUUAUCUUGUAAAGCAGACACACCGUAGUCUAAACCUUGAAAAUGUAAGAGGACUAGUUUUGAGGUAUUCCAAUAAUAUUGGCGGCAUAGGAAAGUAUUUCAGCCUUGGAUGAUGAGAAAUUCUUCACUCAGGCUAUUUACUGGGGGAUUUGCAAGCCACAAGCAGAUACUCAGGAACUUCACCAGCUAGUUUCCAAAUAAUGUAUACGCUUGAGGAUUAUGAUAUUAAGCAUGCAACAUAAACUACCAACAUGUACAUGUGUUAUGCAUGUAUUCACCUCUCUCCCAAACGCGAUUAUAAAUGACUUAAAAAUAACGCAGCUAAAGAUGGGCCAACUUGGCGUUGGUUCUCCUACAGAAAAACGGUGUUAAGUCUUCAUUCUUUAGGAAUUAAAGAGUUGAACUUUCUGAAUGACGAGCUCUGAGACAAAGAAGCCGAGAGCAGGGCUGGAGAAACAAAUAUAAAUAUCUCCAAACUAACACAAUGCGGAGCUGUGUUUUGGUGUAAAGGCAUUCUUGGUUCACAGCCAAUAUGUCAGAGGAAUAAUCAUGUCCAUUCAAGAAAAACACUGACUGCUGAGAGAAAAAGCACAAUGCCCUUUCCUGGAACAAUAUUUUAUGGAAUCAGACUUAUCUUCAUGUAUUUUUAUGAGUUAUUAUUGUACAUGUUUUAUGGCUUAGAGAAGGAGUCUCCAGAGACCAAUUUUUGGGAUAUAUUUUCAUCACUAACUGUAAGAGUCGGAUGAUUAUUCAGUGGGUUUCUCGAACGGGAACUGAAGCAGAUGACACAGCUAUAAUUUGGUCUCUCAGAUGCUCCAUCGACAGUCUCAGCACACACACUCUCUGCCUCUCUGUCACUGAUGGAGAGUCACGACUUCUCAAGUUGAAGAAAUAUGCGAGCACACACACACACUGACACGCGCACACACGUCAACAUAGAGUGGCGAAAAAACACUCGAACAUCCACACAUAACUUUUUGUGUCUGUUCAAGCUUUCUGAAUUAAAGAGCUUCUAACCCCUCUCUCACACUCACACAAAUACAGAUAACGCUCACACAAACACAAACCCGCACAUAAAUUUAAAAGACUCUGAAUCAUGAAACCACAUAAUGAAUAGUAAUCACAGGCAUUUCCAUAACGCAGAACAUAAUCCCUGAUGAAAAUUCAGAAGAAGAAAUGAAUUAUAGAGAGGAAAAACAGCCAAGCACCAAAACAAGUGCAAUAAUGUAAUGAAUGAUAAAAUGAAGGAACUUGACGCCAGGUCGGGGGGAGAUGGUGGAGCUCGAGGGUGAGGAACGGCGACGCAUGCGUGUGCUCGUGUGAAUGCACUCACUCGACAUUUACGCCUUCAUGUGUCAUUAAAAUACCCGCGUUAUUUCCAGACGGUAUGCCUUUAAAUGUUCAUUUGCAUGCAGGGGUGUUUGUCUAUGUGGGUGAGUGUGUGUGUGUGCGCGCCUGUAUGUAAUCUAACGGUUUAUGCAGUGAAGUUAGAGCUUAUUAAAGGGAGUGUAAAGCAGAGAGAGUGUAAUUACCAAACAUAAAUGAGAAGCUCUCACCCAAUGCAUUAAAUUACCCUGAGAGAGGAAUGCCAGCUGAUAAUUGGACUUUCUCAUCUUGGCGUGCGCAUGUGUGUGCGCAUGCAGUAUGUGUGUGCUUCCAUGUUGAAGUGCGUAGAUGAAAAUGUUUUAACUUAAAAGAUGGUGUGCGAUUUGAACUCAAGUGCAGUACAUGUUUUAAGAGAGAGGGGGAGAGGGGAUGUGUGUGCGUGUGUGAGCGCGCACAUGUGUGUGUGUGUAUCUGAUGUCCUUCCCCUGUUACUCUUAAUACUUGUGUUCUUGCUCACUUCCAAAGGUGAUUAAUCCAUGUGUGCUCUAAUUCUGACAAACCAUAGUUCACUCAAGGCUUCGGCUAACCCUGAAUGUGUGUGUGUGUGUGUGUGUGUGUGUGUGUGUGUGUGUGUGUGUGUGUGUGUGUGUGUGUGUGUGUGUGUGUGUUGUGGUCUAGUUCUCAACCUUUAGUCACGAGUUUGUUCAAGCACGUGUCAAUCCCAAUCCAUCAAAGAAGAAUCCGAGUCGUCUCCACACUUCAGUUCAAGUCAGAGACAAGUCCUCACUUCUAAUACUAUCAUUCAUUCAUUCAUAAGCAGCUCUGCUUUUUCACACCAGAUAUUCACUGUUUGAACCUUGAUUGACUGGAAAGGACCUUUUGGAUUUGUGGAAAACAAAUUUUAUUUAUUAAAAUUAGAUUCUGACUGAUCCUGUUGGCAUGCCUGAAGAUUUAAAUUGUUAAUGAAGCUUCAGCACACUGCGCCUCUCUUACCAGGGAAACACACUCAUUGGUUUUGUUGCAUUAGAAUCACUGCUGGUGACUAACACGCUCAAAUUACCAACAUCCCACCUGCUAUUAAUCAGAAUAUGACAAACCAAACAUCUUGGACCCAGUGGUUGAGUCACUUAAGAUACUAGCACGAUUGUUAGUUUGCUAACUGUCAGUCUAGGUUGGCUAACUUUGGUAUCUCACUUAAUUUUUUGGGUGCAUCGAUUACAGCUGAUUAAAUUUAAGGCAUGCACAGUAUUCUCUUCAAACAUUUUUGGUAGGGCUGAAACGAUUCCUUGAGUACAUCGAUUACGAAUAAUGACUGAGGGAUUUUCUCUGCCUCAAGUACUCGUUUAUAAGCUCAAAUCGUCACUGUUUCGCACAGAUUAUUUUCCAGGUGACAACGUACUUACGUCACCAUGGUAGAAGAAGGAAUAAGCGCGGUUUUGGUUUUGCAGAGCAGGAAAAAUGAAUGAUGAGAGGGGCUUUUCUUCUGCUGAGCUCCAGUAGCUCAUCAUCACUUCGCCUCUGAGUCGUUGGCGGAGACAGCGCUGCUCUGCACACUCUUUCUCACGUUAGCUUGCAGCCUAACAUUGGCGGUGUAGUAGCAGAAGCAGGUAACAUAGGAGCUAUUCAGUUCUUGGACACUAAUGUCUUUAGGGACACGAUGAAAGCUAAUAUCAUAAUUAGCUUUCUUAUGAGCAUUGCAAUCUGCUAACGCACACAAUUGUUCCACGAUUGUCCUCUAUUUUUCCGAGUCUAGCAUUCAUAGCAGGGAUCCGGGGUUGGAGCUUGGAUUUGUGACAUAGGAAAUCUCACUGUGUGUGAGUCUGCCGUUUGGGUCUGAUUACCUGAGUAGUCGCUGGAAUUUCCAGGAGAAUACGCGAUUACUAAAAUAUUCAAUAGCUGCAGCCCUAGUUUUUAGCAUAUAGAUUGGGUUAAAAAAAAUUGAAUAUCCCAAGGAAGUUCUUUUUCCCCCUAUAUGUUAAUUCAAAAAGUGAUAUUCCAGAUUCAUCACACACAAAGUGAAAUAGUUCAAGACUUUUUUAGUUGAAAUCUUGAUGUUUACUGCUUAUCUAAAAAUUCAGAAGUCCACGAUCUCACUAAUCACAAAUCACAACCGUCACAACAGUCAUUACCCCAAGACGCUUUCCAAAAAUAGCCGGUCUAGACCACACUCAUUGUUUGAUGAAUUACCAAGACCCUACCUUAAGAUGGGACAGAUUUGACCCAUCUCAUUUAACAUGAGUGACAGUGGCAAGGGAAAACUUCCUUUUAACAGGCAGAAACCUUGGGAAGGACCAGACUCGUGGCAUGGAUGGAGGCAGGUAUUACUGAAGUCCAGGUUGUUGUUAUAGUGACUUUUAGCUCAUCUGAAUUGUGGCUCUGGUGUCUCUCGUCUUUCUCUUGAUGAUACUCUGGAGAUUCUCUAUGGGGCUUAGUUCAGGAGAGUUGGCUGACCAAUCAAGUACAGGAACACCAUUGUGCGCAAAUUUGCAAAAUAAAGUUGUUGAUUGUAUUGAUAAAGAUUUAGUCACAAUUUUUCUUUGUCAAGGUGUCGAUGGUACUUUUAGUCUGAAAGUUGUCAUUUCAUUGCACUGUGUUGAGUCCUUAAAAAAAUUCUGAUUGCAAACUGAAAGCACAGAGGUGACCUUAAAAGCACCAGAGCUGCACCCAGUUCUUCAAAUUUUGAAGCUCAGGGACGCUGAUUAAACUGUCGUGUUUGCAGAUUUGGGGGUGCAUGCAGUGAGGAAAUGGAGGUAUGGUUGUAAAGAGGAAAUACGGCUCAGUCAACCUUUGCAGGUGAUUAAAGCUCUGAAAUAACUGACAAAGAGGUGGACACUUCCAAAUUUUAUGUUUAUGUUUUUAACACAGUGGAUUUUUGAUUUUAGUGAGCUGUAAGCUGUGAUAAUCACGUUUUCAAUAAAAAGAACACUGAAAUAUAUUUCACUUUGUUUGUAAUGAAUGAACAGAAGUUAAAUUAUGGUAAAAACACCUGCACAUGUUGUACUGCUCUUUCUUGCAUAUUCUGUCAAUUCUUGGAAAACAAAAUGCAUGAUUCAUGGCACCUCUUUUAGCAUCCUGGAGGGAACUGUUGCAGAACAAGACGGUGUGUGAAUGCACAUUCAGGUUGACAUGUGUCAACCCUGUGUGGAAGUGAAUAAAUCAUCAGGGCCUGAUUGUGUAUAGGGUCUGAGUCAGGGAUGUAAUUGCUCCACUCCAAGACGAGCCACAAGUCCGAGUAAAGGACUCAAGUACUCCAACACCGGGGUGUGUAGCUGAAUGGCAAAACCGUAUGUACUCCGGAAAAACAGGAACUCGUGCCGCACUUUGGCUUUCAUGUGUGUUGAUUGGAUAAAAGCGGCGCAUACUGAGUGUUCUGUGAGUUUCUUUGUGUUUCAAAGCGUGAGAUUAAUUGUAUAUUGGUGUUAGUGUGUCAGCGGAAAUGAGAGCCGGGGAAUGUUUGAGAUAGAGACUGAUUGCCUAUCGAUAUAUCCAAGAGAAGACAUAAAUUCAAACAUGUGGGCGGUUAUGUGGAGACACAGUAUGUAUACUGAAUAUGUGUAUGUGUGUGUGUCUGUGUGAGUGUGUGUUUCUCCCCGUUGUGUGUCCCUGAGUGCAUUUUCCUCCUCCUACUCCCCUCUUUUUUUCCUCUGCACUGUCCUUGCAGUGUCCUUCUCUCUGCCUCCCUUUUAUUCUGCUCUCUCACCAUCUCCAUCUCCUGGCCUUGCUCUUUGUCUCUCUAUGUCUUCUUUACCCCCCCCCCCCACACACAUUUUUUUUUUACUCUCUCUCUCCCUCUCUCUCUCCACACACAAACAGUCUCUCUCUCUUUCUCCUCACUUCCCUUUCUCUCUCUAACUUUCUGUACCAAGGGAAUAACAUGCUUCAGAGCUUUCAAAUGGAGACAGAGAGGAGUAGCUCCAAUCAGAACUGCCGCAGAUCUUUUAAGCAAACACGGCAGCCAUGUCAGCGCACACAAAGUCUCACGGUCAACUGACACACGUGUGCACGUUGACAGGAAGACAUUUGAGGUGUUCUGAGACGGGAAAACUGGGGUUUAUUUGAACCUGGAAAGGGGGGAAAAAAAACACCUUUAAGAGCUGGAGGAGCCUGGUACAGAGGGAGGAAGAUGAAACAACCUGUCAGGGAAGAAAACUUGCAGCGGAUUAGAAGAGAAAGACAAGAGUGGGGAAGAGCAAACAAAGCAGAGGCUUUCUAGAGAGGAGAAUAUAGAGAGAAAUGAAACAAGGUAAACACUAUCGGCUAGAAUGACCAACAGACAGGAGCAGACAGAGGAAGAGAAAGGGGGAUAAUGGGGAAAAGAAAGAUGGGCAUUAAAGCGGACAGCACACAGAGAGGAGUGACGAACUGACAGAGGGAUAAACCGACAGAGACGUAGCAAAGGGGUUAGUUUGCUAAAUGGGUCUGCUUGAUAAUUGUGUUCUGUGACAGCUGACAGUAGCGCCACUUAAUUAAAGCCAAGCAGGAAAUGACUAUUUAUAGAGACUCCAUCCCAUCGGCACUAAAUGACAUGGUGUUUUAUUUCCCUGAAACCCACUGGCCGCAAAACGCUGACUUUAUUUAAUUCGAUAAGUGUGUGUUUGGAAGGGGAGGUGGGGGAGUUAGUGUGUGUGUGUGUGUGUGUAUGUGUGUGUAAGUGAGUGAGCUCUGUGCGUGAAGGCAGUAGGAGGGGUCCGAGUGUGGGUCUGUUUCGCCGUGUAAUCUGUAGGAAGUGUGUGUAGGAAAGAUAUAUCUAUAUAAAGAAAUAAGUCAUCCUUAUUAUAUAAAUUUGCUCAAGGCAAUUAAAAACAAGCACAAUAUCCACCCAACACACACACACAGUCACACACUCCUACGAAACACAUGUGCAUGCUCACACCCUCACACACACACAGACACACACACACACAGCCAUGUCCCACGACAAUGCACAGUUUGACAGCAUUCUCCCUGACAGUUUGAAAUGUCAGCCCCAAGUGUCUGUCCAAGGGCGCAGAUGAGUGUGUCUGAGUGUGUGUUAGUAUGUGAAGACAUGUAGGGUUUUAGAGAAACUAUUUCCUGGAUGUCAGCUGUACAAACUAUUCACAAAAAUGUCCUGCUGCCUGCUUUUUUAACAUUCAAAUGGCCUAAAAAGUGGAAAUGAAUGAGGGGCCUGGAUAAACAGAGGUGGUACCUCUGUAUUUGUGUAGUGUAAUGAUAACUACUCUUUAAUUUUCUAUUCAACUAUUAGCUCUUAUAAUCUUACUUUUAUGUAUUGAGCUGGUUUUGUAAUUUCAGAGGUUUUCACUGGAAUAAAAGUACAUUACCCUCUUUGUUAAGAUUUGGAGCUUCCCAAAGUGACUACUGUGAUGAUCUUCCUCUCAAACAUUUGAAUCAAGUCAGGUUGUGAGACUAUCAUAGGUCUACAUCUGCAGUAUUAGCUCAAUUAUGCAAUGACAUUGGCAAUAAAUCAAUAUGUUUGCUAUCAUGUGAAUGGAUUGGACAAUCAAAUAGGCCUCGAGAUGCUUAUUUGAAUCUCCCUGUAAACUGGAUUUCCUAGAUAUUCUUCUCUGAAUAUUGGCUAUGCAUUUUCUUCUUCAUUGAUUGUGUAUUAUUUUCAGAGAAUUACAGCUCAGACCUUUAGCAAAGCCAUCUGCUAGAACACUGACUCUAAUCUUGACCAGUACUCACUCCAGUCAGAGAGGUUUUCUACAGCUCACUGUGACUAUCUCUCCCCACAGCGCAGUGAAAUAAAAAUCAUUUGAAUGAGCCACUCACUGGAUCCGAACAAAAAGUAUGUGUUUUUUUUUUUUUCAACUGAAAUACUGGAAUUUUUUUUAAGGUCCCCUUUAAAACAAACCAAAAACAAACUUGACUUCUGUUACCCUCGGUUUGAGAGCAGCAACAUGUUGGAUAUACUUGUACUGGCUUUGUUUCUUCAGUAAAAUUAGCUCACUUCAGUUAAAAAUUAUAACUCAAGAAGAUAUUCUAGCCCAAGACUAUGUUUUAUUUGACUUAUUAGCCUUAUGUUUUUUAUUUCAUGAUCUCUGCAUUGAUAUGAUAGGCCUACAUGUAGACUAAGUGAAUUAAAUUAUUCAUUCAUUCACCGAAAAAUGAGAAUGCUACAUUCAUAAUAAAUGAAUCUUUUCUUCUUUUUCUACAGGGGAUGAUGUGGUUUACAUUUAUGUCAUGACAUGAGCAUAUUGCUGGAAAAAGGCGUUUUAAUGUCAGCUUUGCCUGGUGUUAAUGGACACUCUGGUAAACAUUUAAAAUAAAAAGAACCAAUAAAAUAAUUUCCAGGAUUUGUUUUCGUUUCACAUACUGUCAGAUGACAGAUCCACCAACAGAGGGCUGGUCAAGCUACAAGAUGACUUCAGUGCAAUAGCUGUAUUAGAGGGGUAAACAGCUAAGAUUCAUAAAUACAGAACUGGUUUGUUCCUAAAACAAUGUCAGUGUGGUUGUUUAAUAGUGAAGUUGUUGUAUGAUAUAAGUUGGUCAUUUGUUCCAAAAAUAUCAGCCUCUAACAGAUCUGAUGCUACACUGUGAUAACAUGACUGUGCAUUGUUGGAAAUAACUAUCUUUAAUUAUGAUCUUGAUUCUGUCAGUCAAAAUGGCAUCAGUAUUAACUUCAGUCUGUUUCUUGCAGACUAAAAACUCCUUGAACGUUAAAGUAAAGCUGUGGGCUUUUUGAAAAAAAUGUGAUUUAAUUAGAUAAAAAUAUCUUCUAUUUUUUGCAUUGACAAAUAUUGUGCACAUUUCCUUUAGUGGGACGGAUUCAAAACACGAUGGGCCAGGUUUCAUCAAAUCAACAACAACACAGAGCAACACAAGAUUUUCUAAUUCUGGGUUGUUGUUUUUUUUGUUUGUUUGUUUGUUUGUUUGUUUGUUUGUUUGUUGUUGCUUUUUUAAUCCAAGUCAAGAAACUUGAACAACAGACACUUAAACAACUUACUACUCUUAAUACAGGGCAGCUAACAAUCUUCAAAAUAAACCUGGGUUAAUGAGUGCAUCUUGUGUUGGUAUGGUUGGUAUGAUGUUGACGCAUAAUAUAAUUUUGUGUGAUUUGUGUGUCUGUUUGUGGCUGUGUGUGCAGUUUUAAGUUUAAUAGCCCAGCAGUUUAAAGUUCCCUCAACUCAACCUAUUUGUCUCCUUUCACUUUAAUUUAGUUUGGAGCCAGCGUUUCCACCAUUAUGGGGCCCUACAGGUCUCUCACUGACUGAUGGGUGAUAUCUCUAAGACUAUACUCGUGUAUCAUGAAACUAUGCAAAAAGACUGAUUUUUAAUAAGUAAAUAAAACAGAUUUUCUGUGUGGCAUCUAGUGGCAAACAUGUUUUUGAAUCCAAACACUCUUUAUCAUCUAAACUCCAUCUGAACUUUGUUUCUCAGCGCAAUCCUUUUUAAGUAUCCUUAAAGUGAACUAAAAUGACAUGAGUUACCCAUUAUCUCCUUCUGCUGAUUUUUUCUUCUUUUUUAUUCAACUUUGAAUUGAAUCUUUCCGCUUUUUCAUUCUUACAUUGGAGUUACAUCACCUCCUGAAUUUUGGACGUCUUAAUCCCUUUAUCCGAGCCUGUUACUUAAACUUCAUUUGCUGUUAUAAGACAUAGUCGGAGUGCUGAGUGUGAGAACCAUUGCUGCCAUUUGAACAUAUCUGUAGUGUCAAGCACUUAUAGAUCUACCGUAAGUAGGCCUGUCUUUGGUCUAAAUACAUCCUAAGGGACAACAGUUGAAGAUGAAGACAUGAGACAAGGUAUCAAGGAUAUAUUCAGUGGUUUUCUUCAUCUGACUUGGAGGACUAUGCAUCACUAUUUUGUCAGACAGGCCCAGCUCAGCUCCUUUAACGACUGCCAGCGCUGUUGGCACAUGAAGAACAGAACACAAAACCAGAACAAAACACAUAACUGUCUGUGGUUUCAUCCAUACUAAAAAUGAAUCCUCUAGAGCUUGGAUUGCCUCAUCCACUUUCUUCUUCUUGCCGAAUCCUUCUGUUUCUGUGGACGUCGCCCAAUGCAGCACUUUUGCAUCUGACUUUUUUGUACUUAAUUUUUGUGUGUGUGUGUUGGAUUCUACCAAGAGAUUUAUAACAGCAAAUCUUUAUGUAAACAUAUCCCCCAUAUUUGUAGCUUGGAAAGUAAAUGUACACUGCUGUACCAGACACAAAAAGAAACUACAAUUAACAAUAGUGGAAAGAGAGACUAUCAGAAACCCUGAUCAGCUUUCACAACACUACAAACAUUUAAGGAUUGUGUUUAUUUUUUCCUGGCGACUAUAAUUUGCUUAUGAUUCCUGCUAAUUGUGUCAACAUUUAUGACUUCUGUGGUAAAUACAGAAAUUAAAACAGAGAUAGUACAUAUGUGAGUGCCUUAAAAUAUGCAAUAAAGCUGUCUUAGUUUGAUACUUUAAAAGUUAAGAGUCUAACAAAGGAAUAAACAUCAUGCAAGUUGUUUUCACUUCCACCUAACAAAGGUGCCCAGUGAGCAGCAUUAUAGUAAAAUAAAGGGAUAUAAUUUCUAUGAAUAUGAUUAGACAACACUGUACAUAACAAAGAUCAAGCGUACUGCAUAGUCCACAGGGGCGACAAAAAUCCACACAAAGUAAAAUUUCUCCACUUUUCUAUGUGUGGACUUAAAGAGGCGUAUUGUUGUUUUUUAAAUAUGCAGUGAGGAGUUUUGAACUGGUUAUGAAACAGACUGAACCUGGUGCUCAUGUCUUAUAUAAACUACAAAAAGCAAAGAAUACCAUGAGGUGUAGGAUUAAAUAUCUUCAUGAAGUUGUUCUCAAUGCCUUUCAUUGCUGCAGCCAGGUUAAUGUCAGACAGAGAGCCUUUGUUUACAUUUCUACUUCAGGACUCACAGUGAGGUAGCAACCUGCCAGAGUGAUGCUUUUCUCAGUAAAACCAGGGAGGGAUGAGAGUUUUCACAUCAGUACUGUCUUCUCAUAUGGGUCACAACACAGGCUGUAAGCUCCUCACGGUGGCUUUGUGCUAAAUCCUAAAGUUUGUCUUGGCAUCAAGAGGAAAAUGAAACGGUUUACAUCUGAAGAGUAAAACGUAACCCUCUGCAAACAUCAAAAAUGACAUCCAGACCAGCAGAGGGAGGUGAUGUUGUCCAACUGUGAGGACUUUUUCGAUAAAGACACCCCACAGAAACAGACAACAUGAAAAAAAAACACUAUUUUACAAAUCUGAAUCUUCUGCCCUUCAUAGUCACCUAUAAGACGCCUAAAAUGAACUUGUAAAUUUUUUGGAGACCAAACAGAACAUAUAUACUGAACAUUUAGUUUCCAGGUGACAAACUUUGUUGGAACAAACACUUUGAAGAUCUCAGAUUCAAUGUGCUGUAAAAUCCAGACUGAGGGCAUUUCUGUUUUUAAUCCAAUCUGCUCUGCCUUUUGUUAUACUCUGAGGUGCAAUAUAACAACACAUCAAUGUGAUGCUGCAUUUAUGUUGAUUCUGCAUUAAUUUGUUAGUUAGUUCAAAGUCCAAGUCAUAUAGAUUUUUCAUAAUAAAUCUCUUUAUAUCCUUAAGUUGUGGUUCAUAACUCUCGACUUGAUUAAAUUAGCAUUUUUAAAAGCUAAUUACAGUAGAUCUACUAAUAGCCUCUUUAUUUGCUGUGUCCAUGGUAACUAAAAGAAGCUGGAGGGUCUGUUCGUGUUAGCAUUGUGGCAUAUUAUGUAGUAAUUUCCAUUGUAUUUACUGGUGCUUCCACAGACCACAGAAAAAUUUGCUGCUCAUUAAGGAUGUGUUGUGUGGGAACAUGAGGUAUCAUGAGUAAAUGAUUCACACGCUAAGACAGAAGAAUCAGCCUUUAAAGCUCUUUAUGUGGAAAUGUUCAUAAGCCUGUCUUUGUCCCUGUGUAUUUCUUACCCGCUCACGUGCUCUGCCUGUUUCUUCUUCCCUGUUUGUUCAGCUCUGCCCGUCACAGAUUUCGUCUCUCCAUCUUUCUUUUACUUGUUCUGUCACCUCUGAGCUCUAAAAUAGUACUGAUGAUGACACCACCUCGCCUGAACAGUUGAAGUGGCAGUGAUUCACAGUCAUCAACACCUGCUUACUCCACCGGCACUGCUUCCACUGUCAUGACCCCGCCCAUUCCCUUUUUCCUCUAUUCCCCCCUCACUUUUCUUUUCUUACUUUUUUCUUUAACUUUCACCCACAUUUUGUUAUUUUGCAGCCACCUUUUUAUCACACCGACACUUUUGUCCACGCUUUCCCUCCACUGCUUACUUCCCUCCAGCUCUGUUGUGCCGCCGUGAGGUAUGACUUCACCCCAUUUUGUUGUUGUAUCUCCCUCCCGCCCUCUCUCUCUCUCUCUCUCUCUCUCUCUCUCUCUCUCUCUCUCUCUCUCUCUCUCUCUCUCUCUCUCUCUCUCUCUCUCUCUCUCUCUCUCUCUCUCUCUCUCUCUCUCUCUCUCUCUCUCUCUCUCUCUCUCUCUCUCUCUCUCUCUCUCUCUCUCUCUCUCUCUCUCUCUCUCUCUCUCUCUCUCUCUCUCUCUCUCUCUCUCUCUCUCUCUCUCUCUCUCUCUCUCUCUCUCUCUCUCUCUCUCUCUCUCUCUCUCUCUCUCUCUCUCUCUCUCUCUCUCUCUCUCUCUCUCUCUCUCUCUCUCUCUCUCUCUCUCUCUCUCCCUGCACCUGGCUGAGCAGAUGAGACAGUGUUAAACAGUGUCAUGUGCCAUCUCUUAAAAUGUGGGAGUAGCGUGUAGUGCGACAGCUAAACUGAGAGGGCCCUGGGCUUUGAACGCUGACAGCCCUGUGGCUGGCUGUCUCUGCCAUACAGUGGCGGUCGUUCAAAAGUCACCAUCUUGAUUGGCAAAUCAAAGGCGUGUACUGCCAAGUGCUGUGCUGCAGAUACAUUUCAUACAGAAGUUCUUGCCUCUAUUGAGUGGAAAAACCCCACCAGGCAGGGGUAAUUAUUUUUCUUAAGUCUUAAGUUUGAUGUCUGGUAGCUGCUUGUUUCCCCAAAUCAUCUAAAAAACACAUGUUUGGGGUAUUCACAUCCUUAGACAGGCUGAUUGCAGUGUUUUGAUUUGGAUAGAUUAGCCCCCUAGGCACCGCGAUGCAUUUAAGAACUAUUUGUCUUAAUUUACAUACAAAUGGAGUUUAUCUUAGCUUAAUGUCACUAACUCUGAAGUCAGUUGACAAGUCAUGUGAGUUCACAACGUGGGGGGAGGAUUCAUUUCUCAAAAUUCUGAAAGUUUCAUUUAAUCAUUUUUGUCUGAUUUCAGUCCUCUGUUUGUUUUAACAGGUUACUUUAAACUGGGGCAGCUGCCAUUAACAGGUAGGGGAGACCAGGGAUGGUUGUAACACUUUUUAAUUCAGCACCUCGUAAGUUACUGAUUUUUAAACUAGAGUUUUUACAUUUUUAUACAAAAUUCCCAGAUUUGUUUACUACAAUAUCGUAAUGUCCAAUAUCGUAAACCUUAUGAGUUGAUGUAAAAAGCAGAGCGUUCCACCAGAAAGGGUUAAAAACUCAGAAAGCCGCUGCUCUCUCUGUGAGAGAUCAUAACCUAAAUCUACUUUUAAAGCUAGCUGCUUGAGCAUUGUGGUUGGAAGAUAGAGAAAAAAAAUAAAUAAAUCAGAAUAUUUUUCCCAAGGAACUAUAAUUUAAUCCAAUACUAGUCAUAUGAUUUUAUUGGCAGUAGUAUAAGUACAAAAUGAAAUAGUCUUGAUCAAAAAUUAACUUAAAAUAUCUCAGUCAGUUUUUUUUAACACUGCAGAAACAAGAUGCAUCUGUUGACAGCCUAAAAACUCACCAUGUGAAGUUGGGCUAGGAGUGAGUAAACACUGAAAUAAUCAUGGUGGGAAUGGCAGCGGUACAACUUUCUCAAUGCUACAGUCAUCUCCUGUCUCCUCUGCUGAUGAUAACCUUUAAAAGGUGUUGAGGAGAUUUUUAGAUUUCAUAAAAAAGAUGUUUUAUGAAAUCUUGAUUUUUGCAGUAGAUUUUUUAUAAUACAAUGUAGAUUACUCUGUAGUUUACACUUUAAACCAGCAACAGAUAACAAUGGCAUACUACUGCUUAAUUUAGCGAGACGAAAUAUAGUAUUUGAUUUCUUUUUUUUUUUUUCAAAACUGUGGCCCCAUAUCUUUGUAAAUAUAACAGCAUUCGUUUUUGAUCACAGACACUAAUCAAGCAUAUUUAAAUCUUUGUGUCAAGGUGUGUGAAACUGCCUGAGGGCUCACAGCUGAUCAGCACUUUGUCAACACAGCCAAAGAAGUGAAGGUCACAAACCAGCUGCCUAUCACCUCUAGAAUAUAUCCGGCAAAGACAGAGGAGCAUUUAAGAUGUCAGUGUGCUUAGCAGUAGAACAGUUUAUACAUGAACAAAAUGAUAUUUGAAAUAUUAUUGAGUUGUUGGAAACCUUUUACAGAUUGGAAUUGAUUUCUUCUUGGAUGCAAUGGAAGUUUAAGUAUUGCAUAUUUUCGGCUGAUAAAAGAGAACAGCUGUUAAAACAUGGAGAGUCUACAUGAGAACAGCCAAUACUAUGUCUUCACAAUAACUGCUUAUGCAAAUUUAAAUCUUUUAAUGUACUAAAAGUGCAUUUUUCUGUUUGAUACUCUCAAUCAGACAGUGAGCAAGCAAGGAAACCCCUGACUGCUCUUCACUGCAGUUUAUGUGAAUACAUAGGGCCUUGCUCUGAAGAGGUUUUUUUGUUAACACACUUGCACAACCAUUUAAAACGUCAUUGUCCAUACAAAGACUGAAAUUUUUAAAGCUGCGUACAUUCAACCUUUAAUGUGAGCAGAAGCAAAGCUCGCAGUGGGAAUGCCACUACAUAGUUUAACUAGAAAAGCACUCAGAGAGCGCAGACCUCCGCCAAGCAGCUCAUGUCCCCCCUUAUAUUGUGAUUCACACCAAAACUUUUACUGUUACGUGUCUUUUAUUAACGUUUAUUUUGUUUAAACUGUAUGUUCACUGUUCAUAAUGUUCCUAAAACAAGAAAUGCCCUGACCAGGAUUCACACCCAGGACCUUCUAGUUGUGAGGCGACAGUGCUAACCACUACACCACUGUGCCGCCUAUCUACACCACUGUGCCGCCCAUUGGUUAUCUUUCAGCAUUGAAAAUUCCAACGACACCCUUAUUUUUGUGUGUUCUGGAUCACAGUAUCCAGAAUUUUGUCCGGAUCACCACCAAAAUUUAAUGGGAUCCUCCUGGGGCUGAGACGCACCUCUGGUGAAAAUUUCAGGUCAAUCCGUCUGUUACUUUCUCCGUAAAGUUGCUAACAGACAAACAAACUCACAAACAAACAAACAAACAAACAAACGCUACCAAAAACAUAACCUCCUUGGCGGAGGUAAUAAUGGAAUAAUAUCAAAUAUUGAAAAUCCAGACCAGCUGACUGAAGCUGAAGAGGUUGUUUCAUCCGUGGUUGACACUGACUUUGAGUUUGGGGGACCUGAUGAUGACACACAGGACUUGGAAAUUCAGCUCGAACACAACCUUGCAGCAGUGUUUUGAAAAAUGCCAACAAUUCUGCAUAUAUAUAAGAAAGUGGUGCACAAGAAGUUUUUCAGGAGAUGAUCCAAAUCCAAAUACUCUCUGAGCCAUUACUCAAAUGUUCUGUUCAAAAUGUUAUCAGGUCGUGUUGUGGUGAUGUGGAUGAGUGAGUGAAAUUGUGAAAUCAUUUUCACAAAAUAAUGUUCUACAGAAAUAAAGGUCUCUCUCUCUAUCUCUAUUAUACAACUCCACUAGUCAUGGCAGUUGAAUUUCUCCUUGACAGAGAUGGCCACUCUUUUGUUUAUGUACCAACACUGUGGCGGGCUUUAUUGAGCGAUAAGAACAUUCUGGAGAAGGUGCUGCACACAGAUAUGAUCCCUUCAGAAGGUUAUAACUCUUUCAGAGAUGGCUCUCGUUUUAAAGAAGAUGACCUUUUAAAUGGGGAAGAGUUUAGGAUUGCUCUUGGCUUGUAUAUAGACAAUUUUGAAGUGGCUAAUCCACUGGUUACAUCAAAGAAGAAGCACAAAUUGUGCGCUGUGUAUUGGGUGCUUGCUAAUCUUGACCCCAAAUAUCGGUCAGCUCUCCACUCGAUCCAGCUUGCACUUUUGUGCAAGGUCAACUCUGUGAACCUUUUUAUGAACAGAUAUAUUCAGUCUGCCUGGAUUCACUUUGAUUAUUUGCUUUAUUGUAUUGAUAAAUAUAUCAUGUUAUACAUCACUGGAAAGCUCCUGUUUUCUACUCUCAGGGACCGUAAAAAUGAUUUGUCUGAACCGAUUGAUUUUUGAACUGCGCUUAUGGUUCAGGAGUUACAGUACAUAGACGCUUAUAAGAAGUAGGCAAGGCGAAUCCUGUCACCGGUAAAACGUAGUUCUUCAUUCUUUAAUUCAGGAUCUCGCAGCUCAUAAGGAACAUGGGAAUUAUGUCGAACGACUCACAGAAAGUGCUAAAGAAGCAGUAUGUAGCAGCAGAUAACUUGGAGGCUCACUCCUUGGCUGGAUUUCCAAAGCGUUCUGCAGCCGAAUAUUUUUGUUUGUUCUGCACUAUUAAGUGGGGGUAGAUUCAGGUUAUGGAGGUUUGCACCAGAUGAGUUAAUGCAAGUUAAUUUGAGGGUAAGAUUACUACAUGCUUUUUGGUUAGCUGUUUGUUCAGUUAGUAAACUAACAGCCUGGGAGUCAACAGUGAUACAAAGGCAUAAAAACACGGGUUAUAUUAAAAAAUUCACCUCUUUGUCAUUUUAGGGUGAGUAAUAUCUUUGUACCAUAUUAUAACCUUGAUAUGUGUGAUAUUCUCUUCUAGGCUUGAGAUGUAACAGCCGUGCUCACCCUCAGUCCCCGAAGCCUGCCUGUUUCUCUCAGACACGACCCGACAACUCUUCCCUCACCUGCUUUGUGAGUUAUCAUGUCUAUAAGUUGUUUUUUUGAGCUGGGAUUAGCACUAUUUGGUAAUUUAUGAAUCGCUCCCUGACAUCAGUAGUUGGUGAGGAACAGCCACACUGCAUGAGCAAAGCCUGUAAUUUUACAAACAUCUGUGAAUAUUUUUCAAAAAUGUCUGUUAACAUGAAUUUUGAAAUCUGUAAUGAAUUCUGCAGGUUCACUGGAGAAUAGUAACCUCUUUUCGAGAGACAGAUGUUUGAUUCUGAACAGUUGAAAAUUGGCCUGAAGGAAAUGUUGUUUUCUGCAUAAUUUUCACAUUCUCUUUACAUUACAAAAGCACAGAACUUGCUAGAAAUACAGACAAUAUUUCUACUGGAUGCUGCAAAACAUCAUCCACAUAAUCAGUCUGUGGAUGAUUCACUCAUUUAUGAACAUGUCUCCAUACUGUACAAUGAUAAAAAUAUGGUGAGUGAUUUGGCCUUGUAUGACGUUAUGCAAAAAAAAUAAAUAAAAAAUACGGACUGGAAUGAAAGGUCAGACAUCUGCAUGUAAUCGUCAUCAGAUGUUCCCAGGUAAUGCUAAUCCGGCAAAUCAGGCUGAGUGUUAUUUUUGACCUACGAACACCGAUUCUGUAACUGUAGUGAAACUCUUUUCAACAACUGCAUUAAAAAAUAAAAGAAAUGAUUUGUGUCUUUCUGUCCUUGGCUUAAGUUGAAACAGCCCAUUAUAUUUUUGUCAUGGCUUGUUGUCUGGUUUUGUGCAGGAUUCUGACAGUGAUGUAGCCUGGGCACAAGUAUCUGUUGGGGUGCUGACCCCAACCAUGAAGAUGCUCCACAACCUUCUUGGAGUCUCUAUUUGGACCCAGCAAUGACAGCCAUCAUCACUGAGGGAGGUACUGUAAUGGAAAACCAACCUCAGGCACUUUGCCCCUUGUUUGGACUGUCGUGUGAACUACAUUUGGACUAUCCUAAAGCCAUGAAAAACACAUUUGGAUUCAUUCAGAGUGAUGCUUGGCUUGGGCCAGAACAACAUCCCCCCAAAACUGCAAUCACUCAAAAAUCUCCUGCUGAGUUAAAAUGCAUUUCAUUGUGCAGAAGUGGUGAUGUUUGGCUCACUGAUCCUUGGCAAAGGUUUAAAGUGGCUGGUUAAGUACAUUUAAACUAAAUUUAAAGUUACACCGACUGUUCUUGAAGACUCACUGUUGCUGUUUCAGGAUUACAUUCAGAGUUAUAGAUUAGGUCUGGGGGCUUCUUUUUUAGUUUCAUGCCCAGUCCUUACACUGACUGCCAAGUUGGGCUGCAAUGUUAUUCAACCAACACUGAAUUGCUUUCCAUUAAACAAAAAUGGGCUGUAGAGUUAAUGUUAAAAAUGUUGCUGUACCAAGCACAAUAUUGUGUUUUAAAGGGUAAUGCCAAAAAAGACAUUAAUACAGUUUCACUUUAAAAUAUGAGGUUUCCAGCGCAUAUUUAUGCAGCUAGCUUUUUAGUAUUUAUUGUCUGGUUUCACAAAGUGAAUCUGAUUGCUGAUCCUAGAAGAAACAACUGAG